rnacentral:rRNA from 1 species
UACGGAGGGUGCAAGCGUUAUCCGGAUUUACUGGGUUUAAAGGGUGCGCAGGCGGAUAUGUAAGUCAGUGGUGAAAUCUUUAGGCUUAACCUGAAAAUUGCCGUUGAUACUAUAUAUCUUGAAUGCUGUGGAGGUAAGCGGAAUAUGUCAUGUAGCGGUGAAAUGCUUAGAUAUGACAUAGAACACCUAUUGCGAAGGCAGCUUACUACGCAGAUAUUGACGCUCAUGCACGAAAGCGUGGGGAUCAAACAGG